GACGCUAUCAUCACGCAAACUGUUACAUACCCAGUCUAUCAUCCUCCAAGACUCCUCACUCUGUUCUUUAUUUCAAAAUCAUUAUCAAUCUCCAGAUGAUACGAGAUCAAUGGCCUUGGUACCUAUCAAUGACCUAAACUAUUCACAUUCAGUUCUGGCGAAUCAACUUCCCUAAUCUACCCAUGAAAGAACGGGUAAUCAGGGUUUAUACUUUGGUGUUUCGUCACUUGCUCUUUCAGCCACUUCAUCUCUCCGCUCUCUCUGCAAAUGAAAUGUGGCGGCGGAGAGGCUCGGGGGAUAAUUCUCUAGAGUCUGAUCAAAUAAGUGAUGGUCAGAGUUCGAGUAACGAGGUACAGGAAGUUGCUGUUGAUACAUAUCGAAUUACAACUUUACAAGGCUUGGCUUCACGUUGCUGCGCUAACUUGGGUAAGGAUCAAUGGCCUUGGUACCUGUCAAAACAGGCUACACAGGAUCACCUAUGGCGGUAUUCGUUAUGGCGUGGUCAUCCAUGGGCAGGCCAGAUUUUGCCAAAAGCGGCCUACCUACAACAAGAAACUGUCCAAGGGAUUUCUUUAUUUUAUACGGGGUACAGGCUCUUACCGCAGUGUGAUCCCUCUCCUGGCUCAUAGUUAUUGCAGUGGGAGUAAGUUGUGCAGAUGUUUGUUUGGACUCUGGCUUCCCAACUCAAUCAUUUCAACUGGAGAGAAGAUGAAGUGUUAUCGAGAUGUGCUGAGGAUGUUCGUGGUGGUUGUUGGUCCGAUGCAGCUCUAUUUCUUAUCGAAACGUGAGGAUCUGAAGCCACCAUUUCUUCCACGGAAUCCUUCCCGAUAGACAAGUGUUGGAUUUGUCAAAUAUUUAUGGUGGUUCAUUCCACGAAAAAUGGAAUGGACUUGGCAACUUGAUAGGCAAGAAAGUUGUUGCAGCAGUGGGCUUUGGGCCAUAGGAACCAUCAUUCUACUUGGCUACAAAAGGUGGAGUAGUACUUCUACAAGGGAUGAUCCCAAACACUGACAUGGUCAUAAGGAGCAACUCAGUAUCAAUCCAGCUAAUGAAUUCACCUGGUGCUCAAAUUAGUCAAGUUGGUAAUGUUAUAUGUCAACAGAAUGACAACCGUACAACACUGUACAUGCAUUUGUGGAACCAAGUAGUCGUUGUUGUCAUGUAUGCAAGGAUUGUCAAUCAUUUGUGAUGAAACGAUGUCAUUGGAUGAAACAUUAUACUCAUAUCUUGAGGUUGGAGCGCCUCUAACAGCUGGAUGUGAAAAUUGAUCGACUUUUGGUCUUUGCUAACAAAUUUAACAAAAUUCAAGGAAUAUAAUCAUAUUGCUCUCUCUUCUCCAUUCACCGCCUUCAACUUUGGAGUUCAGAAAGAAGUGAAGAAGGGAUGGCAGGCAGGAGGAAUUGGGACUUGAGCUUGCAAAAUACAUCUGUAUCAGAGGUUGCAACUGGCAUGCAUGGCACUGGUGCUACAAUUGGUGCAUGGUGUGGGCCUGUCCACUGGUACCCAUGGCCAGUCACAGCUUCACCACUCAGCUGAGGUAGUUCCAGCUCCAUCUCUUCUGGGAAUGAUGGAAUAGAGAAAAGUGGAAGAAGGGAAUCAAGGAGAAGAUAAAUGAGAAGUUGUCAGGCGGGCACAAGUAGGAAGGAGCAUACUCAAACUACUAAUCCAUGUACUAGAGGAUCAUAUGGUAUUAUUAUAGGAUAUGGAACAGCUAUAGCCAGAAAAGCGGCUUUAUGAGAAGAAAGAAAUAAAAUUGAAACGAUAAAGGAGAAGUUUUCCGGUGGUCAACACUAGGCAUUUCUGGCUUUGGUGUCAUGCCUAUGACAUUGUUAAGUAUGUGUUAAAUAACAAUAACAAUGUAUUAUAAUGUGGAUCAAAUCUUUUAUUGUGUGUGACACGUUUGCAAAUAGUGUAUAUCUUUUGCGAUAAGCAGUUUUGGAUGGUAGUCCCA